rnacentral:misc_RNA from 1 species
GGUCAAAUACAUCCUAAUCAAGCACCUGUGUCAUUCUCUAUGAAGGAUGACACUAGAAGCUGCAAGAUUUCAUGUGUUAACAAUUCCGUAAUUAAAUACAAGACUAAUUGUGGUUGUGGAAAUUAUUACUGAUACUCAAUUCAUCAGAAAAUGCCUGCAUAGACAAUCCAAUAGCACAAUCCCUUACAAACAUUGAUAAGCUCCUCUCUCUUCUCUCGUUGGGCUGUCUCAAAGUCAAAAACAGUUAAAAUUGACAGUAUAAACAAUGAAAGGUCAAAAACGAAAGGCUAUUUUUGUAGCCAGCCGAGACAAUCAAAGAGAUCAUCUUUCUUUUACUAACAUAUAAUUAAUAGCAAGCCAGCCACAAAACUAUUUCAUGAGUCGCUUGAGUACAUCAAUAAAACAGAGCAUUACGACCAUGACAACGGAAAAUAAAGAGGUAAUAACAACAGCAUAGGACUCAAUCCCAGAAUUCCUCGUGAUAUUUAUCUGUUCUUUAAUUUCAGGCCACAUAACAUAUGCAAGAAACCCAUACCCAAUUAUCACAAUCGGAUUUAGAACAAGAAGGCGGCUACUUUCUUCCGUCUUUAUCUUGUUGUCUCCCAUCUUCAUCACCUCCAAAUUAGUGUUGGAAACAGGGAUAAAUACUGAAACUGAAGAGAAAUUAGGAGAAGAGGGUUCGCCAGAAGUAGAGAUACAGAUAUUUCUGGAGUUGCUAUGAGCAAUCAGAGCUUACAGGAGAUCAACAUUAACAACGAACAUGGAACUUUAGAGAUCAGAAAUUCACCGUUCACACUUGAGAACCCAGCUGGAAUAGGCUCUCCCGAUGCAAUUUAUCCAUCUCUCAGUCUCUCUACAAAGGAAUCUUCUUGGCGCGUUACUCGUUAUUUCCUUACGCCUUCAUCGAAGCUUCUUGGAAAGUACCUCUUUUUUUUUACCCUGAGU